CCUGCAAUAAGUAGGCGCAUGCGCUUCGCAUUCCAAACGGUGACGAGAGCAUGUGGCGAGAGCUGAAAGUUCCUCCAAUUUCUCCUCAAUUUUCAAUGAUAUUUCCAGCCUCUAUUCGACUUUUUAAACUAGAAUAUGCCGACUUUGUAAACACGAGCUGUCGAGGAUCUCGUUAACUUAAUUCACCGCACGAAACGACAAUGUUACCGGCUAACUUAAGCUUUACAUUCAGGUAAGCAAAGCUGAGUACUUAACGGCUAUCUAUUUGGUGAUAUUUCAUAUAAUGCAUUGCAAACAAAGCUCGAAAGGAAACGGAGAAACAUUCGUAUCAUGAUGGUCACGGCGUGCAUGCGUGAGCCCGCAAUAACGCAGCGAUGUACCUGGUGCCUGCCCUGAAAUGUGUCUGUUUGAAAAAUGUACUGUCACCUCUGCUUUUAUCUGAUUUGCUUCUGCUGUAUGUCUAUGGAAAGCUUAUAAAAUGGGCUACACAUCGGUUAACUUUUUUUAUUUCUUCAUUGUUUACUAAUUAUUUUUAGUAUUUGUUGUUGAGCGAAACACAGAAAAAAUACUUUGUUUUCCGAGGAUCUUUCUUUAUUUUUAUACGAGGAUAACUCUUUCGAUGUUCACUUCUUGACGAUAACUUGUUAACUUUUCAAUUCUACUUCUGUGUUAUUUUUCGAUUUGACUGUUUAACUAUAUUCAACUGUCUUUUCGACUAUGUAUUUGACUUUUUAUUCGACUUAAUUCAACUGCCUACGAUACUAUUGCUUCUCUUUUUAUACUCUUCUGUUUACUAAAUAUAGCUAAUUAACCAAUUACUAAGAACUUUCCCGAAUUUAUGUGAUUUUGCUAUUGCUCACUCGAGCAAGUUCCAGUAACUACUAAAUGUCUUUUCAUUUGUAUUUGUCUCGCUACUUUCUAGAACACCCUAGAAAUAGUCAAAACAAUAUGGCGUGACUGCGUGCUUUCAAGAAAUAUCUACAAAAAUAUGCCUUAUUUACAAAGACUUCUACUACUAUGCUAGAACUAACAAUCUAGGUCCUACUUUUUACAAUACUAGAACUUACUAGAAUUUCCUAUUCACAAAAUUGCACUUAUAAAUCCUAUAUUCUAAGGUCCUUUUACUUUAAGUCCUUCGUAACAUUAAUAAUCUAAUUAUGAUGUUACCUUAUGUAAUAUUUAAAAUAUUAAAAAAAAAUUAAGCCCAAUACACAAGAAGUAAAAGUUACAGUACAAAGGUUUACCAUAUGUAAACUAUAUAAAUUUUUAGGGGAUUGUAAUUUAGGGGACUAUCUAUUUUGGGGACUGUAAUAAAAAUGUUUUUUUUUCUAAAACCAACAACAAUAUUUCAAAUAAGAAGAAUAUAUCAUGGUUUAAUAGUGUCUUGUACACACUAAUAGGCAGCUUUUUGUUAUUCUGCCUAGCAUCUCUUGCUUAUAAUUGCUAAUAUUCACUAAA